CCGUGCCAGCAGCCGCGGUAAUACGGAGGAUGCAAGCGUUAUCCGGAAUGAUUGGGCGUAAAGCGUCCGCAGGUGGCUAUGUAAGUCUGCUGUUAAAGAGUGAGGCUCAACCUCAUAAGAGCAGUGGAAACUACAUGGCUAGAGUGCGUUCGGGGCAGAGGGAAUUCCUGGUGUAGCGGUGAAAUGCGUAGAGAUCAGGAAGAACACCGGUGGCGAAAGCGCUCUGCUAGGCCGCAACUGACACUCAUGGACGAAAGCUAGGGGAGCGAAUGGGAUUAGAUACCCCAGUAGUCCUAGCCGUAAACGAUGGAUACUAGGCGUGGCUUGUAUCGACCCGAGCCGUGCCGUAGCUAACGCGUUAAGUAUCCCGCCUGGGGAGUACGCAGGCAACUGUGAAACUCAAAGGAAUUGACGGGGGCCCGCACAAGCGGUGGAGUAUGUGGUUUAAUUCGAUGCAACGCGAAGAACCUUACCAAGACUUGACAUGUCGCGAACCUUUGUGAAAGCAGAGGGUGCCUUCGGGAGCGCGAACACAGGUGGUGCAUGGCUGUCGUCAGCUCGUGUCGUGAGAUGUUGGGUUAAGUCCCGCAACGAGCGCAACCCUCGUUUUUAGCUGCCAGCAUUAAGUUGGGCACUCUAGAGAGACUGCCGGUGACAAACCGGAGGAAGGUGGGGAUGACGUCAAGUCAGCAUGCCCCUUACGUCUUGGGCUACACACGUACUACAAUGCUACGGACAGAGGGCAGCAAGCAUGCGAAUGCAAGCAAAUCCCGUAAACCGUAGCUCAGUUCAGAUCGCAGGCUGCAACUCGCCUGCGUGAAGGAGGAAUCGCUAGUAAUUGCAGGUCAGCAUACUGCAGUGAAUUCGUUCCCGGGCCUUGUACACACCGCCCGUA
rnacentral:rRNA from 1 species